rnacentral:tmRNA from 1 species
GGGGCUGACUUGGAUUUCGACAGAUUUCUUGUCGCACAGAUAGCAUGCCAAGCGCUACUUGUAAAACAGCAACAAAAAUAACUGUAAACAACGCAGAUUACGCUCCAGCUUACGCUAAAGCUGCGUGAGUUAAUCUCCUUUUGGAGCUGGACUGAUUAGAAUUUCUAGCGUUUUAAUCACUCCAUAACCUUAAGCUAGACGCUUUUAAAAGGUGGUUCGCCUUUUAAACUAAGAAACAAGAACUCUUGAAACUAUCUCAAGGUUUUAGAAAGUUGGACCAGAGCUAGUUUUAAGGCUAAAAAGCUAAUCAAUUUUCUAAGCAUUGUAGAAGUUUGUGUUUAGGACAAGAUUUUUGGACUGGGGUUCGAUUCCCCACAGCUCCACCA